rnacentral:rRNA from 1 species
ACGUAGGGUGCAAGCGUUGUCCGGAAUUACUGGGUGUAAAGGGAGCGCAGGCGGACCGGCAAGUUGGAAGUGAAAACUAUGGGCUCAACCCAUAGAUUGCUUUCAAAACUGCUGGCCUUGAGUAGUGCAGAGGUAGGUGGAAUUCCCGGUGUAGCGGUGGAAUGCGUAGAUAUCGGGAGGAACACCAGUGGCGAAGGCGACCUACUGGGCACCAACUGACGCUGAGGCUCGAAAACAUGGGUAGCAAACAG